rnacentral:piRNA from 1 species
UGAAAGUAGACUUGUCCUUUGGGAGU